rnacentral:lncRNA from 1 species
CUUAAAAAGGAGGGAAUCCUAUCAUUUUUGACAAUAUGGAUAAAUCUAGAAGACUCUGUGCUGUGAAAUAAGCCAGACACAUAAAGAAAAAUACUGAAUGAUCUCACUCCUUCUGGAAAUCUACAAAAACUGAUCUCAUACAAACAGUGAUUAGAAUGAAUGUUGCAAGAGAGAAGGAGGAUUUGGAAGCUAGAGGUCAAAGGUCACAAAGUUUUAGCUAAGAAGAACAAAAAAGUUCUGUAGGUCUGAUAUACGGCAUGGUGACUAUAGUUAAUCCUACUGAAUUGCAUGCUUGAAAUUUGCUAAGAGAUGACAGCUUAAGUGUACUCAUCACAUACACAAACAGUAACUCUCAUGAGACGGUAGAUAUGUUGUUCCGGUAAUCAUUUCACCAUAAUUAUGUAUAUAACAUUUUG